rnacentral:rRNA from 1 species
UAGCAUAUCAAUAAGCGGAGGAAAAGAAAACCCAACAGGGAUUGCCUCAGUAACGGCGAGUGAAGCGGCAACAGCUCAAAUUUGAAAUCUGGCCCUAGGCCCGAGUUGUAAUUUGCAGAGGAUGUUUCUGGCGAGGUGCCUUCCGAGUUCCCUGGAACGGGACGCCAUAGAGGGUGAGAGCCCCGUACGGUUGGUCGCUAAGCCUCUGUGAAACUCCUUCGACGAGUCGAGUAGUUUGGGAAUGCUGCUCUAAAUGGGAGGUAUACGUCUUCUAAAGCUAAAUACCGGCCAGAGACCGAUAGCGCACAAGUAGAGUGAUCGAAAGAUGAAAAGCACUUUGAAAAGAGGGUUAAAUAGUACGUGAAAUUGUUGAAAGGGAAGCGCUUAUGACCAGACUUGGACCGGUUGAUCAUCCAUCGUUCUCGGUGGUGCACUCUGCCGGUUCAGGCCAGCAUCAGUUUGUCCCGGGGGAUAAAGGCUUUGGGAAUGUGGCUCCUCCGGGAGUGUUAUAGCCCACUGUGUAAUACCCUGGGAUAGACUGAGGUUCGCGCUCCGCAAGGAUGCUGGCGUAAUGGUCAUCAGUGACCCGUCUUGAAACACGGACCAAGGAGUCGUCUUCGUAUGCGAGUGUUCGGGUGUCAAACCCCUACGCGUAAUGAAAGUGAACGUAGGAGAGAGCUUCGGCGCAUCUCCGACCGAUCCUGAUGUUCUCGGAUGGAUUUGAGUAAGAGCAUACGGGGCCGGACCCGAAAGAAGGUGAACUAUGCUUGUAUAGGGUGAAGCCAGAGGAAACUCUGGUGGAGGCUCGCAGCGGUUCUGACGUGCAAAUCGAUCGUCAAAUAUGAGCAUGGGGGGCGAAAGACUAAUCGAACCUUCUAGUAGCUGGGUUUCCGCCG